UGACUAGUGAAAAAAGCUUACAAAAAAUCAUUUUAUCUUUCGGUCAAAUAUAUGUUGUGUAAAGUACUUUAUUGUUUAGGGGGAAAACAUGGUUCUUAAGGCGGUAAGGCGAGAUAAGGCGUUGGACCACCGCCUAGACGCCUAGGUGAUGCCUAAGGCAAGCAAGGUGACGCCUUAUCAACUUAAGAAUCAGCAAAGCAACCCCAUGGAGGAGGAAGAAAAAGAAAAAAAAGGAGAAGGAAGGGUAGGAGGCCCAGCCCACCAGCCAGCCAUAGUCCUUCCUCUGGCAACCCCAGGUUGCUUCUCUCCCCUACCAUUCAGUUGCUGCCCCGAUUGAGCCACCGCCGCCUCAGAUUCAUCGUCGUCGCCGACGAUUUGGAUGCUACCGCCGACGAUUCGGAUGUCGCCGCCCUGGAUUUGGCCUCCGCCACCCUGGAUUUGGCCUCCGCCGCUCCCGAUUCGGCGCUGCCAACCCCGAAAUGGCGCCGCCCCUUCCCCUUCCCCUUCCCCUAUGUCAUCUUGUUGAUUCUUACCUAGGCGGCGGGGACGCCUUGGAUCUUUCGGGCGUCUGAACGCCUAGGUGACGCCUUUAAAACAGGGGGGAAUUUGUUCCCACAUAUUACUUGCAGUCAAAGAUCGACAACUUAGUUGCUACUAUUAUCAAUAUACUUCCUUAUUCUGAAUGCCUACAUAUCAACAGUAAUGUUUUUUUGGUUCUGAAAAUUUGUAGUCUAAACUGACUCCUCGUAUUUAUGGCAGAAGGUACUUCCAUUUCUGUUUCUGCCCCAAGCCAUACCUACUAUGAUUUAUAGUUAUUAUCACUUUUUUCAUGCAUUUAUGCUGACGAUCAGUAUAUACCAACUCUGUUGUUUGAACUAGAUGCUUUCGUACUUCGUCUGAUCAAGUCCAUUUAGGUUUGCCCUAAGUCAAACUAUUUUACCUUUGACUAUCAUUUUCUAAAACUUAAUAGAGUGAUGACACAAUCCACAUUAUUACUAGGUUUAUUAUGAAAAGGGGCAAUAUAUUCUUGACAAUAUCUCUACUACUUAUUAAGUAAGCAAUAGUAGUCUACCUCUGAUUGUUCUGCCUUUGACCUGUUCUGCCACCGCCCCGUUCUGCCAUCGACAGACAGUCCCGCGCCGCCCAAAAAUAUGAGUAACAGACAACACACUAACACUUUUAGUUUGAGCAACAGACAACACACACUAACGCUUAUAAGCCAUGUUUCUACGCUCUCCAUGGCCAAUAUGGGACUAAUAAAAAAACCCAUAGCAAUGUCGCGGUUUAUGCAGCCCAGUUUGUGCGGCCCAACAGUUGGUGCGGCCCAUUGUUGUCGAUUUGUGCGUUCACAUCUUCUCCCUGGCAACUGCUUCCGUCGUCUCCACCACCGUCCCACGUUCUCCUCCCUCCGCCUCUCGCUCUGCGCACAUCCCCAUGCCCACGCCGAGCGCUUGCGCCUCACCGCCCCCGUCGCAACCGCGGCCGUGGCGGCGUCGACGACCUCCCCCGACUUUCCCGCCGUGGGCGCCGUCCUAGGGAAGCCCACAAUGCUCGUAGGUAGUGGCCGAGAAGAUCGGAGCCGCGAGGUUCAUGCUGAAGGCUCGUCCAUCCUCAGCGCCGCCACCUCGCCCCCGUCCUCGGAGCCGUCGUCUCCACCCUGUCCUCGGAGCAGCAUACACCAUCGCGUCCUCGAGCACCCCCGAGAUCUCGCUCCUUCCUCUGCAACUGUAGCCGCCCGGCGUCUCCCCCUCCGCGUGAGCUGGCCCCUCACCGCUCGGGCCCCAGACCUCCUCCUCCAGAGCUUCACCGCCCGUCCUACCGCCGUUGGCCAACCGUUUGGUGGCCCCAGACCUCCUCCAGAGCUACCGACGACUACGACUGUCCAGGAAAGGUGCAUUCGAGCCCCCAGAUCUACAUUGACCCCCUUUCCUCGUAUAUGGGCUAUAACUGCUAUCGAAUCCUUGAAGCCAAAGCUAAAGAGAACGCCCCAUCACCAGCUUCCCCCUCGCAAGCCGACCUAUGCGUCCAACUGAGUUGAAGACAAUGCAAAAAAAGAUCUAGGAGCUUCUGAAGUAUAGGGAUGCAGCACAAAUGGUUGAUGUUGAAACCACGCAAGAAGCUGCUAUGGCAGAGAUCCUUGUUCGAUGUUUAAGGUUGCUGCAAUUGCGGUGGGUGGGGUGGCGGUCGCGAUGGGCAAUCCUCGACUGAGUUAAUCCUGAUCACAGGCAAGACGGGUCCAAAAGGCUCCUUCCCUGCGAUCCUCAAGUCAGGGUAGACAUGAUCCAACAGCAACGACCAGAUAAGGAUGCAUUCUCUCCUGUACUCCUGGUAGAAGGUUGCUCCUUUCCAUCCUUCACUAUGCUUGCCGCAACCAAAUCCAUAUUUGCAUCCUCUAGCACAAUGCAAGCAUCUCCCCCCCCCAUGCUCCAUCUGAAGAGAGACCAUUCCAGUCUUCUUUGCGUAUUUUGCGUCUUUAUUAAAAAAUAAAACUUUAUGUGUAAUUUAGCGUCUUCGUUAAGGACAUCUUAGAAAAGUAGAAUUUUUAUGGAACUGGACGCAUCACGCUGAUAGAAUUCAUGGGGAAAGUUGUGUGGUUGCCAGAACGAAGCACAGGUCUAGGCGUGUGGCCAGAGAAUAGGGAAAAAAUACAUCUGGAAGUCAUGUAAACCAACACGUUUAUAUGAUAACCUUAAUGUAUAUCAGACAUUCGUGAAAAAAAUCAGAAAUUCAUCCGGAAAUUCGGUGAAGUGCUAAUCGCUUGCGGCUUGCCUGCCGGUCUUGUGGUUUUGUGCUGCUCCCGCUGUCCGCGGAUGCUCUCCAUGGAAGCCUCUCCCCGGUUCCUUGAUGGAAGGUGAAUAGGUGAUUGAUUUCUCGAUUUGGGCCGAUUGGAGCAAUUUUUGGCCGAUCUGGGGGGCAAUCUGUUGGCCGGAUUGAUUUCUCAAUUGUGCUGGCGAGUAGCAUGCGUGCUGCCAAGGAGCAUGCACGCGUACAUGGCGAGGAGCCAGGGCACAAUCUGUUGGCCUGAUCGACCACCGCAGUGCUCCCCAUUGUCGUUCGAUGUAAUCGCUGUCGCCAAGGGUCAUCUCGACGUACAUGUGAAUUUUUCCGUGUUUUCAGGUUCCCUUCGAUUUCAGGUCAACAUUUGUUAUCUCCAUGUAGAUUGUCACGAUGCUACUGGAGAAAGGGCUCUACUGCGAGUAGGUAGAUCUUUGCGCGUUCUCUGAUUCGAAAGUUAUCAUCGAGUAUUAACUAAACAAUCAGCUACUAGGCACUUGAAAGGAGCUUGAGGCACCUCAAGACUGGAGGAGUUCCAGCAUCCUCAGCUUGUCAGCCUAGGCUCUGGUAGGUUCUGCAUCGCAGGGUUCUUUCAACCUUUGAAUCCCAUGGCCAUCAGCAAUACCAGCCUGAAUAUUCAUAGCUGUUACUAGUGUUGCCAUUAUGUAUGUUUGGUAGCCUGGUAGGUGUGACACUAGCUUGCUACUGAACCAGGAAAACCUGUAGAUGAAACCUGGGAUCAGGAGAACCCAGUCCAAAGGUCAAACAGAGUCGGUCUUCACGACAGGUUCAGCAUCUGGGUCCUAUGUUAUCCUUCAGUUUGAGAAACAUGACUCUGAUGAGGAUUCAGAGGAGAAACCUGACUCUGAUCUGAUGACAAUUUGAAGGAACAAUCAGGCUCAACUCAGAGAAUGCACACCCCCUGCAUUACAUUUAUCGUUCUUCGUGUAACGUCCCUUAUGAAUGAGUGAACGUACAUUAUGGGAAGUCGUUGCAAUUGUUUUGAGCUGUGAGUUGUAGCUGGAACAUUUCUAAAAGGUAUUAGUAGGUGGCUUGCUGCAGCAAACUUGAACACACAAGCAACAAACAUAUGCUUCAGGUCCUUGAUGCUACCAACAAGUUUGCAAUCCUAUCUUUACAAAUUUCACCUAUGCAUCUACUCGUCUGACUGUACAAUUUUCGUUUUCAGAAUUUAUAGCAGCUAAAAAUAUCAUCACUUUGUGCAUUGAUUGGGCCCAUUUUUAUAUAUUUUCAAUUCUUUGUUUGAUUAUUACAGGUAAACUUUUUUAAUACUUUUGUUCACCGGAUGGUAGGAACAGAUGAUAUACCACAAAUGUUUUCGACCUAACAAAGAGGGCAUAGAAAGUAGAAGUUGGUUGCUCUUUAAAGCACCAGUUUCAAGUAGCCAUCAGCUAAAACCUGCCAUUGAUGAAACAAGGUGAAAAUGCAGAAUGGCCUACUUAGAGAUAGCUGCACUAUCGAUGCAUCUACAUCAUUUUGGACUAUUAUAUGCCCUCUUUGCAUAUUUAUGCCAUAUAAACAUAUAGGACACCCUCCGUAAUGGUUGAUCUUGUCUACUGUGCUUUGGAGUUCCUUUCAACUUUGCUUGGAGCCUUUCAUGCCACUGAUGGUCAUGUGCCUCCGCCCAGAAAUUCAGUUUCUGACUGAAACUCUUCCCUUUUUCUUGCUUUCAUACUUUUGUCAGUGGUGAUGCCUGACGCGGAGCAUAUUUUGUCAUCAACCUUGGUUGUGCGGUUGUGCCAAUCCUAAACGGUGGUGGUUUGAAUCAUCAUGGUUCACUGGUUUUCACAAUAUUGGGAUUCUUGGCAACCAUGAGGACAUAAUGGGGUUCUUGGCUACCAUGAGGACAUUAUGAGAUUCUUGGCUACCAUGAGGAUAAGUUGAUGCGCAGAGGGAGGAGAAGAAUGUGGAAAAAAUGUCAGGGUGGCUACCAAGUGCAAUGAUAUGGAAUCUGCAAAGCUAUGGCCAGUCUGAUCUUCUUGUUUUCUAUUAAAGCGUUCCUUUCUUGUAGCAUGGAUUACUGGGAUUCUGACAUUAGCACAAUUUGUCAAGGGAGAGUUUUAUAAUUAUUCUGGUUGUGGAAAUAACUUCAAUUGUAAUCAUCCUGUAAUCCGUGGAUUUAUAGAGGAUUGCUUGAGAUACUGGGUAACAGAAAUGCAUGUUUAUGGUGUUCGUUUUGACCUUGCAUUGCAUCUACAAUGACCAGAGGAUGCAGAACAGCGCCGCUUCCUGAUCCUGCCUUCGUUGUUGUCAGGCCGUGUGUAUGUCGUCGACACAGCGACAGACCCAAGGGCGCCAUCCUUGCAAUAGGUGGUUGAGUCCGAGGACAUUGCUGAGAAUACUGGGCUUGGGUUCCCUCACAUGUCUCAUUGCCUUGCGUCUGGCGACAUUAUGAUUUCUUGCCUUGGGGACAAGGAGGGGAAUGCAGCUGGCAAUGGCUUCCUGCUGUUGGAUUCAGAGUUUAAUGUCAAAGGACGGUAAGUUCUUACCGUUUAGGCCCAUCAGUGUUGAAGUGUAACAUGUUACUAUGCCCAAUUGCAGAGCAUAGCCUGUUACUGUUGAAUCACAUCAUGCUGUUAUACACUUUGCCAUGUCACAGUAACAUAAGAGCACACGAUCCAUACUUGUAUGAUGGGUGUGAUUCAUGUAAUGUGCUCUAAAAUAGCUGCAGAGUUUAGUACGAUUAUCUUUAGUCCUGAGAUUAUCUUUACAUAGUAGUAUUUUCAACAGGUAAAUUUGGUACGAUUGUAAGAAGGCAAGAAUAACUUUUUACUCCAUUUCAGUUUCUUUGAAUCAGUUGAGGACAUUCAAGCUUCUGAGUAGGUUGAGCUAGACUGCUACAGAGUUGGUGCAUUUGAUUCUUGAAAGUGGGUCCUAGAUACAAAUACUCACUAGCAUAUUCCUUUAUGUGAUGUACCAUAAAUAUGUAUUUGAACAUAUAUAGAUGCUAUCAUUCACCGUCCAUACACAUUUUAUUAUGAUUUUGCAGAGACAUUUAAAGAAUUGAAAACCAAAAUUAAUACUAAGUUUCUUAUCACCGGACUUCUGGUGACAAGUUAGUAAUAUCUAGCUAUCAUGUCGGGCAAAGAAGACGGGCAGUAUGCCCCGCUCCGACAUGCCCAGCAACUGGUAUGAGUCGCUGCUCAUCUCCGCCACGAACAUGCCCAUGUUUUACAUCUGGUGGCUUCAGUUUUUUACCCUGAUAUUGUGCUAGCUUUGGUACGAUUCUUUCAUGAUAUGGUUAACUACAAGUUCUACUACUGCUAGAUUUGUAUGACUGUGUGAUAUCCAAAUUAAUACUUUUGUAUUAUUCCCGUGACAAAUUUAAAGUUUUCUAAGAGUUUUAACUCAUGAAUUUGAUGAUGAAGUGUUGGCAGUUGGAGCUCCAAGCCUCUCUGAGAUGGCAACCGAGCAAUAGCUGACUGUCUUCGAUGCGACAUUGCAGUUGGUAUGAUAGACUAAAAUAACAGGUAAAUUUGAAUGUUUGAAUUUGCCUAAAUAUGUCAAAACUUCUUUUUAUUUACAAAAACGUAUCAACAAAAAUCACGAGAAUUUGAGAACAUGGUGCUUUUGCUUUUAUCCUAUGUUUUCCUGUUAGGUCUAUUUAAGUCAGACCAUUUUGGUGACCGAUUAGGCACUUAUGGUUUAGCUGAAUACUAAAUGGAAGGAGAGGGGAAUUCCUAGGUUAGUUUUUUUUAUCAUUUACAUAAUUUCCUUUCCAUUUGUAUUUAGAGGGUCAAAUAGACUUUUUCCAAUAUCUAAGGAGCGCACACAUUUAUAUGAGAAUUACGCAUGGGGCUUAUUUUGGUCAUGGAUCCAAUGCUGCUCUUUGUUUUAUACUACUGGAGCAGAGCUCAUGUGCCUUACCGCAAGGUAAUUAAAUUAGAGAUGCAUGGUAAACUGUCAAGUGUGUGUUUUUACUACAAGUGCAUGGAGAGCAUUAAUCAAAGAGCAACACCAAGUAAUCUUUCACUAUUUUCUUUGUUGUAACAUUACUACUCAUUACUAGCAUGAUGGCAACCUUUUGAUGCAAUUAACAUGUCCAUGAUUGAAUACUUUGCAUGUGUGACAGUGGGGUUCAUGUCAUCAGUUGCUUGGACAAUUAUAUCAUGGAAGUGAUUGAUGCGUCUUUGCCCUUGCAAGACCAAACAGGAGCAAAUAAUCCAAUAUUAUGUUUGAGAUCAAUUCAUUGGAAAAACAUAAACCAAGAUUAUGGCGUGGUGGAGGUGAGCUUUAGCGGCAGAGGCGGCAGCGACCCCGACGCGUACGCUGUGGUGCUCAAGAGGAAGCUCGACCUGUACUAUGUCGUCGUCGCCAAAUUCGCGGCUGGUACUUCAGCAGGCCGUCCAAGGACCUUCGCCAAGCAUGAUGAGAAGGAUGUCUACAGUAGAAGGGGGCACCAGAAGAAGAGAAUCAUAAGAUUUUAUGAAACCAGUAAGAGUCUGUGCGCUAGGGAGAUGCAAGGCCAUUUGUAGAGGAAGCUGUGCUGCAAGUAUCUGACUGGGGUUUCAACUUAUCUAACAUCCAAAUGUAGAAGAAAGAGUCUCAAAGAUUUUUUGAACUCAUCAAGUCUCUGUUCAAUCAGGCUAAAAGAGUGGGUGGGAUUUCUGGGCCCAAUCCCUAUAUGGCAGGUUUGUAAUCUCUUCUCUAAAACUAAAAGUGAUCCGAGAGCAUGACAGAGUUUAGUAGAAGCUAAAGAAAAUUACUCCAUCUAUUUCACACAUAGCAUGCUUGCACAUAAUGGCGUCAUUUAGAUGGUAUUCUGUAGUUGCCUAGCAUCUGAGCUCUUUAGUUUAUGUUUAUUUGGCCAUACUGUAAGAGUCUAUGUAUACCACAUUAGAUGGCUUCAAGAAAUCUGUAACAGCACAGUUGAAAGGCUACGCCAAUAGUAGUUGUAGCUGAUUUAUCUUGGUUUUGCAUGAUUUAGGAAACUUGGCGCACACAUGUAGGUAGUGUCGUAAUUGGUUUUGUAUGUAUUAACAAAUAGCAACUCCCAAAUGGCAUAAAGAAUAGGGAAAUGGAGACAUUAGAAAAGCACCAUGUCGUGAAAUCUCAGUCGCAUGUGAGGUGAGUUAUUUUUGUUGUUCAUGUAUGUCAUUAAUAUGUAUGUACAAGUUUGUACUCCAAUAAUCAUGUUUUACAUUAUGCGGGGUAAUUGUAAGGACUACAGUACUUUCGUUUUGAUUAAAUGGGGUCUAUAUUUUUUCUAUCCUUGUCUUUCCAUGUUCUUCUGAAGCACCAUUGAAUCUUUGCACAAGUAAUUGUCGCCUACCUUCAUGUGCCAAGUGUUACUUUAUGUAGCUCAUUGUGUAUUAACUUGCUGAUUUCCUUAAGAAAAAUAUGAGGACGAAGCACAAGCAAAUAAGUACUACAUGGUUCAGGUGCCUGUCUCUCACCUUGUUGAAGUCUAGAAGAUCAUGCUUUUCCUAGAUGUAAAAAUGUCCAGAAAUUUAUGUAUGGCUAGGUUCACAGAUGAAUUACGAAAUAUUUUCUCAUAACAGUAUAACACACAUUUGUACAUAAAUUAUUGUGGUAUUAUAUGUUUCCGUUGCAACGCACGGGCACUCACCUAGUUGCUAUAUGAAGUGUCAUACUAAGAGAAUGUUGAUUGAAUGGACGAGUGUAUUAUUUUAGUAGUUAGUGGUGCUUGUUUAGAACUAAGAUUGCAAAUACGCUGAGAUGAUUUGGGUAUUAUCAUACAAGCCAAGCUGCAAAUAUGGAACCAUGCAGCUUCCAUAAUUAGUCAAGUUAUCUUUGGUCCUGCUUUUAAUUCUUGGAUUCCAAAGUCAUGUUUGGUUAAGACAAGGACAUAUGACACUGUAUAGUCUACAUCCUUUUAUUCUCUCUAAUAAUAUGUUAUUAUAUAAAUUGUUAUAAUUUCAAGCUAGGGACUGAUUAUGCUCUGAUUUACUGAAUUAUGAAUUCCCACUUUGUCAUGAAAACUAUUUCAAUUUCACCAUGGUCCGGGCAAUGUAAGGUAGACUCCAAUGCUGAGCAAAAAGUUGGUUAUAUACAGUGACUUCACAAUUAGAGUUCAUAUUGAAAAAUUCAUGUAGUAAAAUAAAAAUGUUCUCCACAUUUUAAUGCUCCAGUCUCUCAACCAUGCAAAAUUGUAUGUAAUCUUUUACAACUCUUUGUUUGUACACAUCAUUCUUUAUGCAUGUUUUGAGUUAUGUUUAAAUUGACCACUAUCUUUGGCUUUUUGCAUAGUGAGAAUAAAACAAAUAGCAAUGUAUAGACACUGCUACUUGUUCUUUACUAUCAUGUAAAACAAAUGCCUGUUCUUUACUAUCAUGUAAGUUGUAUAUACUUCAAAUCAAUGAAUGAUGCACCUAAGGCUUGGGUUUUUACUUUUUGAGUAUUAAUCCAUGUAAACAAUGAACUAAAACCCUUCUUACCUGUCAUGUUUUGCAGGUGCAAUGGUCUGGCUUUUGAUAAACUCGAAUGUAAGGGUGGCUAGCUACGACAAGCCUUGUUGCUGGCUUAUAAAUUUGGCUUCCAAGUGUGGUCCUGUUGAUGAUGUAAGACAGCUAGAAUCCAAACAUUAUGACAUUGUUUCGUUUAUUCAAAUGCUAAAGGAUCCAAUUUUCACAACAGAGUAUUGAGACAGAUUUGAA